GACGAACGCUGGCGGCGUGCCUAAUACAUGCAAGUCGAGCGAACGGACGAGAAUCUUUCUUCUCUGAUGUUAGCGGCGGACGGGUGAGUAACACGUGUAUAACCUACCUAUAAGACUGAGAUAACUUCGGGAAACCGGAGCUAAUACCGGAUGAUAUUUUGAACCGCAUGGUUCAAAAGUGAAAGACGUUCUUGCUGUCACUUAUAGAUGGAUCCGCGCUGCAUUAGCUAGUUGGUAAGGUAACGGCUUACCAAGGCAACGAUGCAUAGCCGACCUGAGAGGGUGAUCGGCCACACUGGAACUGAGACACGGUCCAGACUCCUACGGGAGGCAGCAGUAGGGAAUCUUCCGCAAUGGGCGAAAGCCUGACGGAGCAACGCCGCGUGAGUGAUGAAGGUCUUCGGAUCGUAAAACUCUGUUAUUAGGGAAGAACAUAUGUGUAAGUAACUGUGCACAUCUUGACGGUACCUAAUCAGAAAGCCACGGCUAACUACGUG
rnacentral:rRNA from 1 species